rnacentral:rRNA from 1 species
AUGCGCGCGUGCCCCCUCACGACGGCGCGGUUCCGCUCCACGCUCGACGACUUCGCCGCUGCCAUCGGCCUAGUCAUCAACUACUCCAAAAGCACUCUGGUCCCGAUGAACGUCGAUGACGACACCCUGGCCGCGGUCGUGGUUGUCGUGGGCUGCAAGGUGGAGGGGUUCCCGCAAACCUACUUGGGGCUCCCUCUGUCAUGUUCCAAGAUGUCGCUCACUGACUUCCAUUUCAUCAUCGCCAAGGUGGAUCGGUACCUGGCCGGCUGGCGUGCUCGCCUGCUCUCUCCGGCUGGGCGGCUGGUGCUU